GUAGGUGAACCUGCGGAAGGAUCAUUAUUGAAUAAAUCUGACAUGGUUGUAGCUGGCUCCUCGGGGCAUGUGCUCGCCUGUCACCUUUAUCUUUCCACCUGUGCACACACUGUAGUCCUGGAUACCUCUCGCCGCAAGGCGGAUGCAGAGACUGCCGUUCCACCUUCGGGAGGUCGGCUUUCUCUGAAUUUCCAGGUCUAUGAUUAUCACAUACCCCAAUUGAAUGUUUCAGAAUGUUAUCAAAGGGCCU
rnacentral:misc_RNA from 1 species